GUGAAUUCGGGGUUUUUGGCGGCAGGAGGAGUGUCGGCGACCCCGUCCCGCUGGGCUCGAACGCCGCAGCCCGUCCCAACGCCAGCCCGGCACCGCUCUCCCUCACGCCGGGGGACAAGCGGGACGUGACGGACGCUUUCCUCCUCGCCCCGGCACCUGCCGCCGCGGUUCCGCUCCGGGCUUCCUCCAGCCUCCUCCUCCUCCGCCGGAGAGCCCGAGCCCUCCCGGCAGAGCUCCCCCGCUCGCAGGACGUCCGAAGACGCCGGCCAUGGCAGCCCGGUGCCCGUUCCCCGCUCCGUCCCCGCCGAUUGCCGCUCUGUCCCGCCUACGGCUCUCUCUAUGGUCGGCGGAGGGUUGGCCGCUCUGGCCCCUCUAGGCCGCGCCGCGCCCCAGCUCGAAGGGCCGCUGACACGGAUUCCGGGGCUCGGUCGCGGAAGCGGGCGCCGGGGCGAGAGCUCCGCCGGCUGCGCGCGCAGCCCGCGCUCCUGGCGCCGAGCAGCGCGCCGCGGCCGCCAUCGCCAGGGGGUCCCGGCCCCGGCCGUGUCCGGGAACAAUAAAGCUCUUGUUGCGAGCGCCGGGGGCUGGGCGCCGGGCGAGCCCCUUCCCCGCUCGUCCUUCCCUCCUCAUCCUCUUCUUCUUCUAAUUCUUCUUCAUCCGGCGCCGCCGCCUCGGGCCCUGCGCCCGGUGCAUGGAGAAGCAGGGUAGGAUGGACUGCCCCGCGCUGCCCCCGGGCUGGAAGAAGGAAGAGGUGAUCCGCAAGUCGGGCCUCAGCGCCGGCAAAAGCGAUGUCUACUACUUCAGUCCAAGUGGUAAGAAGUUCAGAAGCAAGCCUCAGUUGGCAAGAUACCUGGGAAACACUGUUGAUCUCAGCAGUUUUGACUUCAGAACGGGAAAGAUGAUGCCCAGUAAAUUGCAGAAGAACAAACAGAGACUAAGGAAUGAUUCUCUCAAUCAAAAUAAGGGAAAACCAGACUUAAAUACAACUUUACCGAUCAGACAAACUGCAUCAAUUUUCAAACAACCAGUCACCAAAGUUACCAAUCAUCCUAGUAACAAAGUACGAUCUGAUCCACAGCGAGUGACAGAGCAGCCACGACAGCUUUUCUGGGAGAAGAGGCUACAAGGCCUCAGCGCAUCGGAUGUCAGUGAACAAAUCAUAAAAUCCAUGGAGCUACCUAAAGGUCUUCAAGGAGUUGGCCCAGGUAACAAUGACGAUACCCUGUUGUCAGCUGUUGCUAGUGCUUUGCACACCAGUUCUGCACCUAUCACGGGACAGCUCUCUGCAGCUGUUGAGAAGAACCCAGCCGUCUGGCUUAAUACAUCUCAACCCCUCUGCAAAGCUUUCAUAGUCACAGAUGAUGACAUUAGUUGUGGGAUAUACCUUCUGAAUAGUUCUGGGCUUCUUAGUGCUAGUCCUGUGAAAGAAAACAAGAAGAGCGUGUGCAACAAGUGCGCAAAAAACUAGAGGAAGCACUAAUGGCAGACAUUUUAUCUCGAGCGGCUGAUACAACAAAAGAUAUAGAUGUAGAAAUGGAUAAUGGAGAUGAAGCAUAAAAACAAAUCAGGUACUUUUAACUGACUUAUCCCAGGAGGAACUUCCUAUAAGACAGAGGCACUUUCUCCUUCGGUCUUUCGUUACAAGAAGAAAUGGACCCAUGCACAUUUAUAUAGCUUUCUAAUAGCAUUAAAACCAAUGCCUUUUCUAGACUCCUAUUUUUGAUGUAUAUAUCUUAUUUGAAAAGCAACUUUAUUUUGUGUCCUAUGACUUAAAGUCCUUUUUUAAGUAUCAAACGUUACCCUUAAUCUAAAGCUGAGCUUUUGAUGCCAGGUUGCAAACCUACUGGAAUUAUAUUGCCUGUACUAAAUAUUUGUUUUUCCUGUGGUUUUUAGUAAGAAUGGAUCAGGAGAACAGAAUGAUUUCCCAAUUAAAGAUUAUUGUGACUCUGUAUAUAAACAGAUUUUUAUACCUAUGGGUGAAAAAACCUGUACAUUCUUCCGUCAUCACUGUAAAGAUAAAUAAAUGAUUAUAUUCCAA